CUACUAGGGUUUCUAAUCCUGUUUGAUCCCCACGCUUUCGUGCCUCAGAGUCAAUAUUCGUGUAGCGAGCUGCCUUCGCAAUUGGUGUUCUAUGUCAUAUCUAAGCAUUUCACCGCUACAUGACAUAUUCCGCUCACCUCCACGAUAUUCAAGACAAAUAGUAUCAACGGCAGUUUCCGAGUUAAGCUCGAAGAUUUCACCACUGACUUAUCUGCCCUCCUACGCACCCUUUAAACCCAGUGAAUCCGGAUAACGCUUGCACCCUCCGUAUUACCGCGGCGGCUGGCAC
rnacentral:rRNA from 1 species